UCCCUGGUGGUCCAGUGGUUAAGACACCAUGCCUCCAAUGCACGGGGCUCAGGUUCGAUCCCUGGUCAGGGAA
rfam:Ovis aries breed Texel chromosome 2, whole genome shotgun sequence.